AACGGCCGUACCAUGCUGAAUAUACCGGUUCUCGUUAGAUCAAACAUCAUUGGGCGCGGUCAGUACUUGGGUGGGUGACCACCUGGGAACACCGUGUGCCGUU